GUUUUUCGCUUGAGGAUGAGCCCAUACGGGAUUAGCUAGUUGGUGAGGUAAUGGCUCACCAAGGCUACGAUCCCUAACUGGUCUUAGAGGAUGAUCAGUCACGCUGGAACUGAGACACGGUCCAGACUCCUACGGGAGGCAGCAGUAGGGAAUAUUGCACAAUGGGGGAAACCCUGAUGCAGCGACGCCGCGUGAGUGAUGAAGGCCUUCGGGUCGUAAAGCUCUGUCGUAUGGGAAUAAAAAAAUG
rnacentral:rRNA from 1 species